ACAAUCCAUAUUUCAUGCAUAAAUAAUGUGAUGUGCCAUUGGCAGACAUAAAAACAUAACACAUUUUUAAAGGUCACUACAUAAUUUUCUGAGUUUGCAUACUUGUGAGAAGGAAGAACUUCUAUUCUCUUUUCCUACUGCUAGCUAACCUAAGAAACCUGAAAUGGUUUGAAGGACUCCCUUGGGGUCCUAUACCAUACUUUGAAAAUCCUUGCUCUAUACCUGAAGCCCCCUAGCACUGGAAAGUAGAGGAAAAGGAAGUCUCAAAGGUAUGGAACUCCCUCCUUAUUGACAUAAAUCAUUGACCUGCAACAAUUUUGAGGAACAGAACAGAGUUGGUGAGAAAGGAGUGCUCUGUUUCAGUUUCUUUAGUUCUCUCAAGUCUCUAAGUUCUUCGGUGCUUUGGACAUUUCUGGCUUCUAGCUUCAAAAAAGAAGAUGGAUAAUUCCAAGAACACUUCUUUGCUGAAGAGAAAAUGUCUCUGGGAAGAAGCUAACAUGAGAGGAACUGGCAGCCUCCAUCAUAUUCCUACUGUAGCUUGCUAUACUAGAGACUUCAGAGAACUUCCCCUGUGGGUGAAAUCUGGAACUCUCUAAUUCAAGCUAAAUUGUUUUGCUCUCAAUAAAAGUGCUCCUUCA